GACGAACCGUGCAAACGUUGUUCGGAAUCACUGGGCUUAAAGGGCGCGUAGGCGGGCAGGCAAGUCGGAGGUGAAAGCCCACGGCUCAACCGUGGAAGUGCCCCCGAUACUGCAUGUCUGGAGGGAGGUAGGGGCGUGCGGAACUUCCGGUGGAGCGGUGAAAUGCGUAGAUAUCGGAAGGAACACCGGUGGCGAAAGCGGCGCGCUGGACCUCUUCUGACGCUGAGGCGCGAAAAGCCAGGGGGAGCAAACGGGG
rnacentral:rRNA from 1 species